GACGGAGGAUGCAAGCGUUAUCCGGAAUUAUUGGGCGUAAAGCGUACGUAGGCUGUUAGAUAAGUCUGUUGUCAAAGCGCGAGGCUCAACCUUGUAAAGGCAAUGGAAACUGUUUGACUAGAGAGCGAUAGGGGCAGGAGGAAUUCCAGGUGUAGCGGUGAAAUGCGUAGAUAUCUGGAAGAACACCAGUGGCGAAAGCGUCCUGCUGGAUCUCAACUGACGCUGAAGUGCGAAAGCAAGGGGAGCGAAUGGGAUUAGAUACCCCAGUAGUCCUAGCCGUAAACGAUGGGAACUAGGUGUUGGCCGUAUCGACCCGAUCGGUGCCGAAGCUAACGCGUUAAGUACCCCGCCUGGGGAGUACGGUCGCAAGAUUG
rnacentral:rRNA from 1 species